rnacentral:piRNA from 1 species
UCCUCUUUGUGCCACAAACCUCUCC